AUGGACGCCGACGACUGGGGUCUUGGGGCGGUCGUGAGGAGCUGCGGUGGCGGUGUCGUCCCCGGCUACGAAGCAGAGUCUCCUCGCCGGGAAGUCGUGCGUGCGCGGGAGGAUCCGGCGGAAUUCGUGAGGCGACCGGCGAGGGCGGCGUCCACGCCGUCGUCGCUGUACGACGUGCUGGAGUACCUGGACUUGGAGCACGAGCAGCUGCAACAGCGGGCGCCGUUCUCUAUCACAUCGUCGUCCGGCUGUGAACGGGCGCUGGCGGAGCAGGACGAGGUGCUCAUCUCCUUCCCUGCAGCUGCGGCCUCGACGUCCGGGCAGGCGCUGCCCGCGAGGAAGCAGGCCGGCCGGAAGCCGGGAGGUGCUGGAGCCCUCCGCCGGCCGAAGAGAGGCAAGAGCAAGAAGAGCCAGAUGAAGAAGGUGGUGCGGGAGGUGCCGGUGGCCGAGGGCGGCGUAAACGGCCCCGACGACCAAUGGGCGUGGCGCAAGUACGGCCAGAAGCCCAUCAAGGGCUCCCCCUACCCUAGAGGGUACUACAAGUGCAGCAGCAUGAAGGCGUGCACGGCGCGGAAGCUGGUGGAGCGCAGCCCGGCCAAGCCCGGCGUGCUCGUCGUCACCUACAUCGCCGACCACUGCCACGCCGUGCCCACCAACAUAAGCGCGCUCGCUGGCACCACGCGCCACCCGCCCCAGUCGCCCGCGUCCGACGACACGGCGUUGAACCGCGGGGACGACAGCGCCGACGUCUCGUGGUCCGCCGCUGGCGCGGACGACGAGUCUGAGCUCUGGUCGCCCGUGGACAUGGACGAUUUCUUCGCCUCUUUUGACGACGAUUUUGAUCAUUUCUUCGAGGACGACGCCAUUGGGCGACGGGUCUCGCUGUAG
rnacentral:rRNA from 1 species